ensembl:lncRNA
GCGGCCCGGGGUCUGCCCAUCUCCUCCUGGGCCCUCCGCGAGCGCUCCAGUCCGAAGAGACCCAGUGACUGUCGCGUUCCCAGGAGUCGAGACUCUCAGGGGGCCCGGGCUGGGGGGAGGAGGAAUUCUGCCCAGACUCUGCAGCAGUUGGAGCAAGCAAGGUUUCUCCUGGGUGCUUCCUGGAAAAGUUGCAAAAUUGCUCUUCACCUGUAAGAACAUGCUUUUUAUCUUCCAGUCUCUUCUUGUCAAUUUGGAAGUUGCAGACAGCCGGCUCAGGUUGUGAGCUCUGAAGGCAGAAGUGGUUCAUCUUUGCUUCCCCGGGGACUAGCAUUGUGAAUGGUCCUCAACUCUUUAACUCAAUAUUUGAUGGAUGCAUGAUUCUAUAUAAUAUACUAUGGAAAAACUGAUGAUAGAGUCAUUCACUAUGCUGGUCACACUGAAUAAAACAUUUGAACCAUCAUGUUAACAAAGCAAACAGGCAUCUGUGACAUGUGAGAAGAUUUGAAGUUGCCCAGGACAGAGCCCCUACUUAGAAGAUAUCUCCCAGCAUCUCAGGUGAAUUAUACCAUUGGCAGAGAAACUAGAGUGAAGCCCACAGACGUGCCUGAUGGAACCAAGAUCGUGAAGAGUAGUCAAGAGCUCAAGUAUUACUUGUAUGAUAAAAGUAAAAAACAAAAGCAUACAGGUAAUCUGGUGAGCAGCUGAGACAGAAUGUCUGGGUUCCCAUUGAGUGGCUGAUGGAGGAUUGAAGAAGAAGAUGCUCUGGUCUCAAACCUAGAGGGGAUCUUCCUGACCCAGGGAUUGAACCCAAGUCUCCUGCAUUAGCAAGAGGAUUCUUUCACCACUGAGCCACCGGGUAGGAACUAAAUACUUUGUAUUUGUUGAAGAAAAGAAGGAAGGAAAGUAGGGAGAAACGAAGAUAAGGCGUUAUUCUCAUCGUGGAGAAGCUUACAGCUGGGGAGGGAGAAACACAACAGACUAAUGUAAAACAAGAUUGUGCGGCACUAGAGAGCCUUGUCCCUGGAUGCGUGGUGUGCAGAGGAGGAAGAAGCCACUGUGGCCUGGAGCCAUCACAGAAACCUUGCAGUACAAGCAAUCUCAAUUAGCUCCAGAGAAUGGAUGGGUUCUGGAGAGGUGAAGAGCAGGAGAGAGAUUAUCUUUGGAAGUGGGAGGGUCUGACAAGGCUGGUGGUUGAGGGUGUAGAAAGGAGGGAGUGCUUCCUUAACACUGUAUUUUUAAAGGAAGCAGUGGGUUUUGUGAGAAUGGCGAGAUGGAUUGUUUCUUUCAAUAAAUAUUGUGGAGUGCCUACAAUCUGCUAUGACAGAGGAGACCAUCGACGCAAACUCCUCCAUGCUCAGGCUGAGAGAGUGCUGCUGUUGAGAAGGAACGCUUGCAUUUUGGAACGCUGUUAAGAUUUGAGUAUGUAAUAACUUCAGUGCAUCUGGCUCAGCACAUUUAUUUUGAGAUUUUAUGGCUGCUAUCAUCUGCUCAGAGUGUGUGUUUCUCUCUUUAAGAUAAGACUGAGGUCACAGUUGUUUUCUGUUACCACUGAAAUUUCUUUCUUUCCUUUUUUUAAUUUUACUGUUUUUGUAUUUUUUUUGCUCAGUUUCAGUUAGUGAAAUAUAUAAAGAUGUAUUUAUCACUAUUAAUGUUAUUGUAAUCAUUACUUUUUACUGUCAUUCAGUUCUAAUUAAAGACACUGCUGCAUCCAUUACCAUC